rnacentral:SRP_RNA from 1 species
CUGGUGCCAGCACUUGUGCGGUGCCUCGGCAAGUCGAGUGGUGGGAAGCGCGGGGCGGGGGCAUGGGAUGCUGAGGCGUGUCAGAAAAUUGCUUUGCACUACGAGAGGCUGGAGGACGAGAGCAGCGAGUC